GAUGAACGCUGGCGGCGUGCUUAACACAUGCAAGUCGAACGAUGAUCCCAGCUUGCUGGGGGAUUAGUGGCGAACGGGUGAGUAACACGUGAGUAACCUGCCCUUGACUCUGGGAUAAGCCUGGGAAACUGGGUCUAAUACCGGAUACGACCAUCUGGCGCAUGUCAUGGUGGUGGAAAGCUUUUGUGGUUUUGGAUGGACUCGCGGCCUAUCAGCUUGUUGGUGGGGAAUGGCCUACCAAGGCGACGACGGGUAGCCGGCCUGAGAGGGUGACCGGCCACACUGGGACUGAGACACGGCCCAGACUCCUACGGGAGGCAGCAGUGGGGAAUAUUGCACAAUGGGCGCAAGCCUGAUGCAGCGACGCCGCGUGAGGGAUGACGG
rnacentral:rRNA from 1 species